rnacentral:lncRNA from 1 species
UUUCAACCCCUCUAGAGAUAUAUCCAGAUAUAUGCCCAAGAAUUAAAUUAAAACCAAUAUGAUGAUUUUGAUUUGACAUGCUAAUGAUAUAAUAUGUUAAAGAAGAUAACAGGAUUUUGCAACAAGAGACUGACCACUGGAAGUACUGUAUAUGAAACUACUUGUAUCAUUCAGAGUAAUACUGCAUUACAAAAUACCAAGCUCUCCAAUUUACAUCAAUCUUAGUCAGAAAUAGUUUAUAUUUUGCAUCUACUAACACUCUCAAAUUACAUAUUUAUUGAAAUAUAAAAAGUAACUCUCAACAGACAUUCAUCAACAUGCUAUAAUAGUACUACAAUCAGUGUCCACACAAA